ACCCUCUCUGCUCCAGUGCGAGAAAAGUUCUUCCCUUGCUCAGAUUUAAGUUGCAGACAUCCAUUUUCUCAGGCGCUCAGGCGUGUACUUUUUCUUUGUAGUUUUCAUUUUCGUGCGCCUUGUGAAAUCGGUUUGUCACGUGUUUCGGUCUGGUCAGCUUCCGUCACCCUUCUUCAACAAAGCUGGUUGUUUACACAGCACAUGGCAAGGAAACAAUUGCUUCAACGUAAACAAGCCUUUUUCACCUCCCCUGACCGGCAGUGUUUGACAAGAGAAUGAGCUUCCAAGGCUCAGACCAGAACCAGAAAUAACUGCCUACAAAGACAGGAAACAUUUAGGAAUGAAGAGGCCUCCCAGAUGGAUGACCACAGCUAUAUUUUUAGGAAGUAUGGAAGGGCCCAGCUCUGGAGAAGUGUGCGCCCCUCCAGGGUCAGAACCUGUGUCAUUCAGUGUUUUGUCAUCUAAGGAUCAUUUUUACAAGGCAAUGUGUUGUCACAAUUUGUCACGCGCAUGUAAUCUUAGUUUUCCUCACAGAAACUAAGCCUUCACUGAAUCUUCUGCGGUGUGGUGAAUAAGUCUUUGGCCUUGUCACUGACAGGUUGCAGGUUCAAGUCUCUGCUGGAGCCUCUUGCUGUUGUUCUCCUGAGUGACUUUGCCCCAGGUGCUCCUGUCCACCCAGCUGUAUAAGUGGGGACCAGUAUUGCUGGGGGGGGCAUCCCAAAAAUGGUAAGACAACAGAAAGGAGGAUGAGCUUUAUCCUGAUAAACCACUGUGACUCUUGGGGAAGACAGCUGGCUGAGAGAG